UACGUAGGGCGCAAGCGUUAUCCGGAAUUAUUGGGCGUAAAGAGCUCGUAGGCGGUUUGUCGCGUCUGCCGUGAAAGUCCGGGGCUCAACUCCGGAUCUGCGGUGGGUACGGGCAGACUAGAGUGAUGUAGGGGGAGACUGGAAUUCCUGGUGUAGCGGUGAAAUGCGCAGAUAUCAGGAGGAACACCGAUGGCGAAGGCAGGUCUCUGGGCAUUAACUGACGCUGAGACGCGAAAGCGUGGGGAGCGAACAGG
rnacentral:rRNA from 1 species